ACCACACUGCAACCGCGCAUGAUAUCGUAUUUUAAGUGUCGAAAGACCACGUGUCGUGGCGAGUCUAAGUCUAUAU
rfam:Aerococcus viridans ATCC 11563 = CCTG 4311 strain ATCC 11563 contig00010, whole genome shotgun sequence.